rnacentral:rRNA from 1 species
GACGAACCGUGCGAACGUUAUUCGGAAUCACUGGGCUUAAAGCGCGUGUAGGCGGGUGACCGCGUCGGUCGCUGAAAGCCCCCGGCUCAACCGGGGGAUGGGCGCCGAAACGGGUCGCCUGGAGGGGCGUAGGGGGACCUGGAACUUCCGGUGGAGCGGUGAAAUGCGUUGAGAUCGGAAGGAACGCCCGUGGCGAAAGCGGCGCGCUGGACCACUACUGACGCUGAGGAACGAAAGCUAGGGGAGCAAACAGG